AGUCGGCCCCUAAGGCGAGGCAGAAAUGCGUAGUCGAUGGGAAGCUGGUUAAUAUUCCAGCACCUCGCAUAAGUGCGAUGGGGGGACGGAGAAGGUUAGGUCUACCAGGCGUUGGUUGUCCUGGGGAAAGGCGGUAGGAGUGGGUCUUAGGCAAAUCCGGGACCCUUUAACUCCGAGCACCGAGACGAGCUCAUUAGAGCGAAGUGACUGAUACCACGCUUCCAGGAAAAGCCCCUAAGCUUCAGCUUAUGCAGACCGUACCGUAAACCGACACAGGU
rnacentral:rRNA from 1 species